CAGAGCAUAGCUAAGAAAGAAAAGUAUCUCCCUUACACCGAGAAGUCAUCCGUGCAAAUCGGAUUGCCCUGA
rnacentral:tRNA from 1 species